UGAGAAUUGGAGAAGUCCCACUGGGGCAGAG
rnacentral:piRNA from 1 species